rnacentral:rRNA from 1 species
UGGUGGAGCGAUUUGUCUGGUUAAUUCCGAUAACGAACGAGACUCUGGCCUAUUAAAUAGUUCGCCGAUUCCGAUCUGUCGGCGUUAACUUCUUAGAGGGACAAGUGGCUUUUAGCCACGCGAGAUUGAGCAAUAACG